UGUGUUCUAAGUGGUAAACAUAGUC
rnacentral:piRNA from 1 species